CGGCCGCAAGGUUAAAACUCAAAUGAAUUGACGGGGGCCCGCACAAGCGGUGGAGCAUGUGGUUUAAUUCGAUGCAACGCGAAGAACCUUACCAAGUCUUGACAUCCUGCGAAUUUUCUAGAGAUAGAUUAGUGCCUUCGGGAGCGCAGUGACAGGUGCUGCAUGGCUGUCGUCAGCUCGUGUUGUGAAAUGUUGGGUUAAGUCCCGUAACGAGCGCAACCCUUGUCCUUAGUUGCUAGCAGGUUAUGCUGAGAACUCUAAGGAGACUGCCCGUGACAAACCGGAGGAAGGUGGGGACGACGUCAAGUCAUCAUGGCCCUUACGACUUGGGCUACACACGUGCUACAAUGGCCGGUACAAAGGGUUGCCAAGCCGCGAGGUGGAGCUAAUCUCAUAAAACUGGUCGUAGUCCGGAUUGGGGUCUGCAACUCGACUCCAUGAAGUCGGAAUCGCUAGUAAUCGUGAAUCAGAAUGUCACGGUGAAUACGUUCCCGGGCCUUGUACACACCGCCCGUCACACCAUGGGAGUGGGUUGCUCCAGAAGUGGCUAGUCUAACCUUCGGGGGGACGGUCACCACGGAGUGAUUCAUGACUGGGGUG
rnacentral:rRNA from 1 species